ACGCUGGCGGCGCGCCUAAUACAUGCAAGUCGAGCGAGAAGGUGUAGCAAUACACUUGUAAAGCGGCGAACGGGUGAGGAAUGCAUGGGUAACCUACCCUCGAGUGGGGAAUAACUAGCCGAAAGGUUAGCUAAUACCGCAUACGUUUCCGGAACUUCGGUUUCGGAAAGAAAGCAAUACCGUGGGUAUUGCGCUCCUGGAUGGGCUCAUGUCCUAUCAGCUUGUUGGUGAGGUAACGGCUCACCAAGGCUUCGACGGGUAGCUGGUCUGAGAGGACGAUCAGCCACACUGGCACUGCGACAUGGGCCAGACUCCUACGGGAGGCAGCAGUAAGGAAUAUUGCGCAAUGGACGAAAGUCUGACGCGGCGACGCCGCGUGGGGGAUGAAGGUCUUCGGAUUGUAAACCCCUUUCGGAGGGAAGAUGGAGUGGGUAACCACUUGGACGGUACCUCCAGAAGCAGCCACGGCUAACUUCGUG
rnacentral:rRNA from 1 species